rnacentral:lncRNA from 1 species
AGUUGGAAUAAUUAUUUUAAUAAUGUGAUCAAAUUAUUUGAUUUCAUCAAAAAUAAAGAGAAAUUAUAUAGUUACAUGAAGGUUAGUGAGACGGUCCCAUACUGACAACAGUUAUGAUAUGAUUGUAUAUAGAAUUUUUUUAUCAAAGAUCUAGAUCAAACGUCCUGUAUUCUAGAAUAAAGGUCUAUAGUGAUAGAUCCUGAAAAAAUAUUUGAUUUUCACAGACAAAAAUAUAGAAAAUAUGCUGAAAGGGUUCAGUAUUGAAACCUCCAAGAGGGAUCUGUUGCCCUCUUAGGCAUAGGUGUAU